rnacentral:lncRNA from 1 species
GGGAAGGACAAGGGAACAGAAGGAAGACUGACUGGAAGGAAGACAAGGAAACAGAACGAAGACUGCUCUGUUUCCAGAGCAGCGUCCCGGCUCCAGUUCUUCAUCUGGUGAUUGAGCUCAUAUCAGGUGUCUGAAGAAGAUAGUUUCUGAGGUUGUGGGUCAUGAUGGCUGCUGAAGCUUCUACUCCAGAUCUGAAGGGUAGCAGUGCUCAGGAGACCCCAGACACUUCCAUCCCUGAGUAUAACAUCAGAGAAGGGUGGGAAUGCUGUACUCCAGAACAAGGGGGC